rnacentral:rRNA from 1 species
AUUGAACACUGGCGGCAGGCCUAACACAUGCAAGUCGAACGGAGCGGCGGUCGGGUGAGUGAUGCCUAGGAAUAUGCCUGGGAGUGGGGGAUAACGUCCGGAAAUGGGCGCUGAUACCGCAUACUAGCAGUUGAGUCUCAGUGGGAUUAGCUAGUGGGUGGGGUAAUGAGCUACUAAGGCGACUAUCCGUAACUGGUCUGAGAGGAUGAUCAGUCAAACUGGAACUGAGACACGGUCCGGACUCCUACGGGAGGCAGCAGUGGGGAAUAUUGGACAAUGGGCGAAAGCCGGAUCCAGCCAUGCGGCGUGGGUGAAGAAGGUCUUCGGAUUGUAAAGCACUUUAAGUUGGGAGGCGUUACCAACAGAAUAAGCACCGGCUAACUACGUGCCAGCAGCCGCGGUAAUAC